UGUUUGCUAAAUUAAGAUUUUAUUUUGGGGAAAUGAAACAAAGGUGAAUGAAUGACUUUACCUUGACUUUAAGAUGUAAGAUAUAGCAGGUUGAACUCUCUCAGUGCCUGAAUCAAGUGUAUGAAGUAAUGAUGUUAACACCACUUUAACUAUUGAAGUGACGCUAUGUGGGCCAUUGAGUUUAUACAUGCAUAGGACUAAUUUAUAAAAUCGUUCAACAGAGUAAUUAGAUAUUACAUCCUUGUCUAAGUAGAAAGCAAUCUUAGAUUCUACAAAAGCCAUAUUUGUAAUGUUAUGUGAGUCCAUAGAACCCUGAGAUUUUCUUACCCUGACCCAUUUUCAGACGCGUCUCACUUAAUCAACCUUAGACAGCAGAGGGGAGCAUCUCUAAUGAUCAACCUGGAUGUGUUUAGAGGUUAUUUUCUGUAGUGCUGGAAAAGCACACUGUUUAAAAGCACACUGCUAAAAUUAGGUGAUAUGAAGUCAUUUACUUUUUUAAUGUGUUUGUGUGUGUCAGUGUCAUCGAUAAUGAAGAUUAUAAUCUCAAGAUUAGGAAUCUUCAAAGAGCCACUUAUCUUGAAUAGGAAACAUAAAACUAUCUGUAAAUACAUCCCUCUAAGGAUGACAGUGAAGGAGCCAAAGCCAUUGAGUAGUCCUCCCAUUAGACUUGAUAGCAAUGAAGCAGAUAAGAAAACAUAAAAGAUCUCCUAUGGAUGAUUUUUAUAGAUUCAUGGACACAAGUGUAUCUUUGUAUAACAUGUAGAUAAAAAACACAUCUGUUGCCAAAGUGACCAAUAAAAUGCUUCCUGUGUUUUCUGGCCUUCACUUAGCUGUGUGACCAAGGUCCAGAAAAUGGCCUACAAAAAUUACUCUAUCACCCCAAAUCCACUAUG
rnacentral:lncRNA from 1 species